UACGAAGGGGGCUAGCGUUGCUCGGAAUCACUGGGCGUAAAGCGCACGUAGGCGGCUUUCUAAGUCAGGGGUGAAAUCCUGGAGCUCAACUCCAGAACUGCCUUUGAUACUGGAGAGCUUGAGUCCGGAAGAGGUGAGUGGAACUCCGAGUGUAGAGGUGAAAUUCGUAGAUAUUCGGAAGAACACCAGUGGCGAAGGCGGCUCACUGGUCCGGUACUGACGCUGAUGUGCGAAAAGCGUGGGGAGCAAACAGGG
rnacentral:rRNA from 1 species